rnacentral:lncRNA from 1 species
CGAGCAGCGAGAUAGUGCCAUCAGCUCAAUGCUCUGCAAGUGCUUGGGAAGGCGUGGGGGCGGGACCCACGCGGCAGCACCAGCAUCCACCGCCUUCCCCGAGCUGCAAGACUUUGCAAAAACAUUGGGCGUCUGAUUUGGCCGGCGUUUUGGCGCGGACGGAGGAGGCCCGAGGCCGCCAGGGGAAGCUGGGCCCGCGCGCGGCGGCUCGCGGUGGCCUCCCUUUGUGUGCGCCGGGUGUUGAUUGCCUCCUCGCUCGGGGCGCUCUGCACCUGCUGGCGGCGGUAGCCCACAGCCCCGGCCCGCGGAGGCGCGGUGCGCGGUGCGCGGCGGCGGCGGCGGAGGACGGGAGUCAUUUACAUUGCGCGCACGUGGGAGCCGUUGGCUGCUCCCUCGGACUUGUCCCGCGUUGUGCUCUCCCAGGGAGGAAGCAGGAGGCACUUUGCAGCCGACAAUGAAAUCUUGGCAGCUAAUUGCAGUCGUGGGAGAUGCCCUUCAGAGGAGCCGCUGUCCAACGCUAGCGCAGGAAGGUGGCGGCGUGUGCGCCUCGGGGCUGCCCAUCAGAGCAGGGACUCGCAGCGGAUGGAAUCCGGGAAAGCCGACGCGGCGAUGGAGGGAGGCCGCUGCGUUUGCAGCGAGUGAGUGGGACACGGACAUCAAAGCAGACUGCGUGGAAAUAGAGGACAGAAAGGUAAGUCAGUACUGCUCACCCUUUGCUGUCGCACAAGACCAGAACUCUGCGAUUUCAUGCCGAGUGUCCCAGGCCUGCUUCCUGCCUUGCGCCUCCCUGGAUGGUGGCUUGCGGUGACUCCUGUGCUCACAUGGGACCCUGGGACAGUCUUGCUGCCCAGGGCUCCCCAUUUCCCCCUGUGUGCUUUCUCGUGUCCUUAGUGAAGAGUGCACAAGGUAAUCCGGUGUCUAGAGAAGCCAAUGCUGGUUUCUCGUUUCCGUCGUAUCCUCCUCCUCAUUGAUCUGUUAACUCACGUCACUGUUUCGUUGAGGGUUGCUGCCGACGGUGGUU